GGGGUGUCGGCGGGCGGCCGCGGCCGGGUCUAGCGGUGCCUGCGGAAGAAGGAGGAGGAGGGCUGGCGAUGAGAAGCAGCAGGGGGAAUCAAGGGCAAGAAGGGACCCAGAGGGGCAGGUGGCUGAGAUGCUGGCGUCCAGGUGACCCGAGGAAUCCUCUGGAGAUACAGGCCCGCGCAUGCGCGUGCUCGAGCGCUGAAGCCCAUUGCCCGCAGGGCGCUGGACUGGCGCCCCGGCCGGCGAGGCUGUCUAGUCCAGGCUCCAGGCCCCGGCUCUGGCCAGGCGCCGCCGCCUCCCGGUGCAGCUGAAAGUCGACGAAGAGGGCGGGGCGGGGGCGGCUUGUGGACUUCCACACUUUUCCUCUCUUCGGGCCAGUCUGGGGAGAGGGUGGCUAGCUGUGGCGGCGGCCAAUUACGUGGCGGACCUGCGGGGCUAAGCUGGCACGUCACUUCCGACUAGUGGAGUUUUUAGCCUUUUAACAUUCAAGGAUUAGAGCUCCCUCUUUGCCCACUAGCAGGGCAUUAGCUGGUGCUGAAGACAGUGGCUGCUUGGCGAGCCUGGAUCUCCAAGUGACCCCCUCAGCAACUCCUGAUGAACAGGACUGAAGCCAAUAUUAAAGCAAGUCAACCAAAGGUUCUCUGGUGUAGACAAGACAGCAAAAGGACAGACUACCUUGUGGAACCUAGCAUUGUUCUCCUUCUGCAGCACUAAGUAACAUUUGUUCUCCGUUAAGAUCUUUGCAAACCACACACAAGAAUUGCUGGUCAUCCUGCCAAUAGAUGCUGCUCACAGAACCAAAUUUCCUGUGCUGAAUUGUCACUCAUGGGCUUGAGAGUAGGAGACUGGAGACCAAGGUGGCUAGAAUCCAGUUGGGCCUGAUGUCUCCCUGUUGAAAGGGCUCCUUGUGGAAUGAAUAGCACAUGGCUCCUGUGGUGGAUCUGAUAGUGGCAUAGCACCAAGUGAUGCAGGCCUGCCAGGGGCCACAGACACAGAAGAUGCUCCCGGGGUCCCCCAUGUACUCCAGACACACUGCAGGCCACCUCUCCCAGCAGGUUGCCAGUCAUGGGCCCCAUCAUCAUGACUUCUGUCCAAGGGACUUGCACUUAGGAAUCUGUUACAGUGAGCACAGAAGCAGACCUGUGGGCUCAUAGUCUUCACCCCCCACCCAUAUAUACAAGAUGAACAGAGUGGAGGUUAAACAACUUGACUAAACAACACAGUUCAUGGUAAAGCCCAAGACUGUACCUGCCCAUCCACUGCCUUUUCCAUGUAUCCUGGAACUGAGCAUAGACCUCUUCCCAGGCAGAGCUGACAGCAAGUAAAGGAGAUCAUAAUCAGGGGACCAAACAACUUUGUCUAAAGUGUGAAUGUCACCUAAGGAGAAGCUGUGAGAUCAGAAGGGUGGGGCAGAGGAGCAGACACCAUGAGGGAGAGUCCUUGGGGGUACAUCUGCCAGACUGACACUGUCUGGCCUGGGCAGUGGAGGGGCUAGCAGGAACCACAGGUACUGGUGGUGUGGCUACUACCGUUACAACUGCCUGUGCUUGGACAUGGACCCUCUGCAAUAUGCGGCAGUUUCAUUCAUUGCCCCCUACAUUCUACACCAAGUAGAAAUGGAAGGCAAUUGGAUACUUCACAGACAAGAUCUAAGUGGAGAAGGAAUGCGUCCUGUGGCUGCAGAGAUCCUUGGAGCUUGGAGGGGAGAGCUUGAGCCCCACUGAUGAUGACCUCCCACAGCUCGCCAACUCAGCCCUCCCUAAGUCCCCAUCGGGGGCCAAUUCUCACUCUGGGGUUGGGGGGACUCCACCAUAGCUCAUCCAUCAUAGGGAUGUUGGUAUCUACUGUGGGUUGGGUAGGGCCGAUGUGCUGAGGAUGGCUCCCCCACAAGCAAGAGAUGUGGAUUUGGGGAGCUUCCCAUCUUGUGUUGAAGGAACAUAACUCAGAAUAAUAAGAGCCAACUAUAACAAACCCACAGCCAACAUCAUACUGAAUGGGCAAAAGCUGCAGGCAUUCCCCUUGAAAAGUGGCACAGGAUAAGGAAGCCCUUUCUCACCACUCCUAUUCAAUAUAGUGUUGAAAGUCCUGAUCACAGCAGUCAGGCAACAGAAAUAAUAAAGGGCAUCCAAAUAGGAAGAGAGGAAGUCAAACUAUCCUUGUUUGCAGACAGUAUGAUUCUAUAUCUAGAAAACCCCAUAGCCUCAGCCCAAAAGGUCCUUCAUCUGAUAAUUUCAGCAAAGUUUCAGGAGACAAAAUCAGUGUACAAAAAUCACUAACAUUCCUAUACACAGUCGCCAAGCCAAGAGCCAAAUCAGGAGCACAAUCCCAUUCAUAAUUGCCACAAAAAAGAAUAAAAUACCCAGGAAUGCAGCUAACCAAGGAAGUAAAGGAUCUCUACAAUGAGAAUCACAAACGCUGCUCAAAGAAAUCAGAGAUGACACAAACAAAUGGAAAAACUUUCCAUGCUCAUGGCUAGGAAGAAUCAAUAUCAUUAAAGUGGCCAUACUACCCAAAGCAAUUUAUAGAUUCAAUGCUAUUCCUAUCAAACUAUCAAUUACAUUUUUCACAGAACUAGAAAAAACUUAAAAUUCAUAUGGAACCAAAAAGCCUGAGUAGUCAAGGCAAUCCUAAACAAAAAGAACAAAGGUGGAGGCAUCACAUUACCUAACUUCAAACUACAGGGCUACCAUGACCAAAACAGCAUGGUACUGGUACAAAAGCAGACACACAGACCAGUGGGACAGAAUAGAGAGCCCAAAAAUAAGGCCACAAACCUACAGCCAUCUGAUCUUCAACAAAGUUGACAAAAACAAGCAAUGGGGAAAGGUCUCCCUAUUCAAUAAAUGGUGCUGGGAUAACUGGCUGGCCAUAUGCAGAAGAUCGUAACUGGACCCCUUUUACUAUGUACAAAAAUUAAGAUGGUUUAAAGAGUUAAAACCCAAAAUUAUAAAAAUCCUGAAGAUAACUUAGGCAAUACCAUUCUGGACAUAGGAACUGGCAAAUAUUUCAUGAUGAAGACACCAAAAGCAAUUGUAACAAAAGCAAAAAUGGACAAAUUGGAUUUAAGAGCUUUUUCAUAGCAAAAUAAACAACAGGGCAGACAAUCUACCAAAUGACAGAAAAUUUUUGCAAACUAUGCAUCUGACAAGGGGCUAAUAUCUAGCAUCUAUAAGGAAUUUAAACACAGUUACAGGAAAAAAAAAACCCACUCCAUUAAAAAAUGGGCAAAGGACAUGAACAGACACUUUUCAAAAAAGACAUACAUACAGCCAACUAGCGUGUUAAAGAAAACCUCAAUUAUCACUGAUCAUUAGAGAAAUGCAAAAUCAAAACCAUGAUGAGAUAUCAUCUGCCAGUCAGGAUGGCUACAAAAAAGUAAAAAAAUAAUAGAUGUUGGUGAGGUUAUGGAGAAAAGGAACUUAUACACUUGUUAGGAGUGUAAAUUAGUUCAAUCACUGUGGACAGCAGUGUGGUGAUUCCUCAGAGAGCUAAAAACAACUACCAUUUGACUCACCAAUCCCAUUACUGGAUAUUUACCUAAAGGAAUAUAAAUCAUUCCACCAUAAAGACACAUGCAAGUGUAUGUUCAUUGCAGCACUAUUAACAGUAACAAAGCUGGGCACAGUGGCUCACCUCACGACUGUAAUCCCAGCACUUUGGGAGGCUGAGGUAGGCGGAUCACCUGAGGUCGGCAGUUUGAGACCAGCCUGACCAACAUGGAGAGACCCCAUCUCUACUAAAAAUACAAAAUUAGCCAGGUGUGGUGGCUCAUGCCUGUAAUCCCAGCUACUUGGGAGGCCAAGGCAGGAGAAUUGCUUGAACCCAGGAGGCAGAGGUUGCAGUGAGCCGAGAUCACACCAUUGCACUCUAGCCUGGUGAAGGAGCAAGACUCCAUCUCAAA
rnacentral:lncRNA from 1 species